rnacentral:lncRNA from 1 species
CACCGGGAGCCCCGGCCCGACCCGGCCGAGGUUCGGCCCCAAGGCGGCGACACAGCACUCCGCCCGCGGCGCGCUCUCGGCGCGGGGCCGACUCCAGCUUUGUCUCGCGAGGGGACCCCUCGGCCGUGGGCCGCGCCGGGCCUCCCGGCGGCGCCGGCUGCUUCUCUUCGCGCCGCGACAGGCCCCCCCCCCACCGGACCAGACCAGACCAGACCAGACCAGAGGCGGCGUCUGGACGAGAGCGGCGGGCGGACGGAGCUUGCAGUGCUCGCAGCUGCUGUUUCCAGGAUGUCCUUCUCUGUCAGGCUGCAAUCUCCAGGACAAAAAGCCCACAGGACUUUUGCUCAGUGGAGCUCAGUCUGCAGAAACACUCUGUCAUUUGCAGCUGUUUCCUUGCCGCCGGGUUAGCUCUGGAGUCCCCAAAGAGUCAGAUGGGAUGAGAAGACUCGCUGUUCCCCAGGCACCUGGGAACUGCUGCCAGGGGACAAUAAAGCAGGAUGCAAGUUGGAUUCCUAGCAGAUUUUUAAACAUUGAAUAAAGGAUUUUAUUAACAUUACCCAUAAUUCCAAAUUUCCUGAGACCCCAUGCUCCUGUGUGGCCAGUCAGUGAUGCUCCAAGCGUGGGGGUACACAGGUAACCGGAAAACCCCAAACCUUCGCCAGGGUCCCCAGUGGAGGCUCUCUUCAUGGCCCUCUCGCCCUUAUGACUGUGGGGACUGGCGUGCUGCACCCAACACACACAGCCCCACCCGAUGGUCGUCACGGAUCCGCCCUGCCACCUGCUCCCGGUGAGGACCA